AUAAAAGCAACUUUACCUCUGGGACAAUGGGCUGAGCCUCGGGGAGCCGUCCACCUGUCUCAAAUGCAAAGAAGCUGAGUGUGUACCCAAUAAGCCUACUACUAGGCCACUAGCAAAUGUGUGUAAAAGGAGAUAUGAUAGGAUGACGAUGGGGCCCAAUGAGCACCCGAUUCAUCAUUUCUCCUCUUUUUAUAAGCACCUAGAAGUCCUCAUUGCAAGACACAAGUCGAGUUCACGACACAAGUCUUACUCUGAGUUCUCUGUAAGUUUUAAUUCGAGACGACUUACAAAUUCUCAGGCGGCAACUAUUCGCUUGGGAUGUGAAUGUCAUGACAGGCAUUGGAUUCCAGAAAAAUGAUUGGCAGUGCUAAUCUAUUCCAGAUUAUAUCUCUUCAAAGCAAACAAUCCUCUCAUUGGUACACAACUCAACUCUCAGUGUCAGGCAGUUAAGUAUCUUAAGACUUGUUUUCAUUCCAAUAAAGAUAGUGACAUUAUGUUAUGGCACUAUCGAUUAGGCCAUCCAAAUUUUAUGUAACUAAAGCAUCUGUUCCCAUCACUAUUUGUUAGUAAAAAACCAAAUUCAUUUAGUGUGAUGUUUGCCAACUCUCUAAACAUACUCAUAGCACAUAUUCCCCUAUUCCAUAUAAUCCAUCUCAUCCAUUUUCCCUUAUUCACGGGGAUAUUUGGGAUCCCAAUAAAAUACCAAAUCUCACUGGGGCUCAUUGGUUCUUACUAUUAGUUGAUGAUCAUACCUGAAUAAGUUGGACAUUCCUUAUGAAAGAUAAAUCUGAAACCAGCAACAUUUUUAAAAAAUUUCAUGUAAUGAUUAAAAACCAAUUCCACACAGAUAUCCAAGUUUUCAACUCUGACAAUGCCCGUGACUUCUUUAAUUCCAAUCUUGGUCCAUAUUUGAAUGACCAUGGCAUUGCACAUCAAAGUUCCUGUGUAGAAACUCCAUAACAAAACGGAAUUGUUGAACACAAAAUCGUCACAUAUUAGAAAUAGCUCAAUCCAUGUUGUUUCAAGUUAAUGCCCCAAAAAGUUUUUGGGUGAAGUUGUUCUUAUGGAAACCUAUCUAAUAAAUAGGAUGCCUUCUCAUGUCAUCAACGUCCAAACACCACUCCAAGCCCUUGUCCACCUAUAUCCAAACUCUCAUCUUGUUUCGAAAAUUCUGAUAAAAAUCUUUAGUUGUACUGUCUUUGUCCAAGUCUACCCUCAUAACAGAAGUAAACUUGAUGAACGUGCAAUUAAAUGCAUGUUCAUUAGGUCCUCGAAUAAAAAGAGUUACAAAUGCUUCUCGCCUACAACCCAAAAAUUCUACACUAAAGACGUCCAUUCUUCUCCAUUUCCGAAAUUCACUCAGAAUUAGAAUUGGUCCUCUCUACACUCUGCCGCUUUUGUCUGAGGCACCUAAGGAUAAUCAACCACCUCCUUUGGUCGACCAAUCUCCUUUAGCUGAUCAACUUCAGACUUCUGACAGUCCACCCGGUCAUCUAAAUCUUUCAGAUAAGUCUAUUAAAAUUUACAAACGCUUGGAACAGACCAAGCACAACCAAGAAUCAACUCUAAAUCCAGUGACAGACGAAAUAGCACAGGUUGAACCAGCAAUUAGUCCUCAGUCAGAGCUCGUGGAUUCUGAAUCACUAGAUAAUUCUAUCUUCAAUUUGAAUCGACCAAUUGCUCUUUGGAAAGGUACCAAAUCCUGUACAAUGCAUCUAAUUCAAAAUUAUCUGUCAUAUGUCAGUCUCUCGGAGAAGUUUAGAGCUUUUGUGUCAACACUAUGGCAUACUGCUGUCCUUAAAGAAUAUUGGGCUCUAAUGGUGAAUGAAACUUGGAUAUUCACACCACUACCACCUGGGAAGAGAGUUGUUAGAUGUAAGUGACUUAUUUCCGUGAAACAGAAGGCAUAUGGAAGUGUUGAUCAAUUUAAGGCACGUCUAGUGGCAAAGAAUUCACACAGUCCAAUGGGAUUGACUAUCAUGAGACUUUUGCUCCAGUUACCAAGUUCAAUGUCAUAAGAGUUCUCCUAUCUUGCGUCGUAAAUCAAGAGUGGCCAAUAUUCUAACUGGAUGUGAAAAAUGCAUUCCUGAAUGGCGAUUUAGUUGAAGAAGUAUAUAUGGAAAUUCCACCAAGAUUUGAGAAUGGUCAGACAUGAGGGAAAGUAUGUAAACUCAAGAAAUCUUUGUAUGGACUCAAGCAGUCACCACGGGCGUGGUUCGAGAGGUUUUCCAAGGUCCUGAAGCUGGAAGACUACUAUCAAUCCCAAGUCGAUCACACAUUGUUUGUUAAGCACACCCCAAAUGAUAAGGUGACCAUUCUAAUCGUAUACGUCAAUGAUAUAGUACUCACAGGAGACAAUGAAGAGGAAAUAAAACGACUUAAAAAUGUCCUAUCCAAGGAAUUUGCGAUGAAGGACCUAGGACUUCUCAGAUAUUGUUUUGGUAUGGAAGUUGGUAGAUCUUAUCAAGGAAUACCGGUCUCUCAACGCAGAUACGUGUUAGACUUGCUUCGUGAAACUGGUAUGAGUGGUUGUCAUCCAUCGAAAACACCUAUAGAUCCUAAUGUCAAAUUGAAGGCUAGAACAGAGGACGAAACUGUUGAUAGGGAGCAAUAUCAGCACCUAAUAGGUAAAUUGAUUUACCUCACUCACACACGGCCAGAUAUCAGCUAUGUAGUGAGUCAUGUUAGCCAGUUCCUCACCAAUCCUUCAGUUGAUCACUUGAAGGUUGUUCAUAGAAGCUUAAGAUACUUGAAGGGAGAUCCUGGAAAAGGACUUUUCUUUAAGAAAACGACAAAUCAAUCUGUGGAAAACUUUACAGAUGUUGACUAGGCAGGAUCUCAGAGUGAUCGAAGGCCAACAUCUGGUUAUUGUUCAUUUGUAUGGGGAAAUUUGGUCACUUGGCGCAACAAGAAACAGUCAGUAGUUGCUUGUAGUAGUGCUGAGGCAGAACUCCGAGCCUUAAUUCAAGGCGUUUGUGAAGGAAUAUGGUUAAAAUGAUUGUUAAAGAGCUCAUAAUUAGUUUUCAAGGUCCUGUACAGGUGAUGUGUGACAAUCAGUUAACUAUGGCAAUGGCUAAGAAUCCUGUCCAACAUGAUCAAUCAAAACAUGUUGAAAUUGAUUGGCAUUUUCUCAAUGAGAAGAUACAAGAUAAGAGUGUGUUGAUGAACUAUGUCCCUUCUCAUCAGCAAGUUGCGGAUAUUUUCACCAAGUCUCUAUUCAGAUCCACCUUCAUUGAACUUAAUCUAAGACUUGGCUUAAUGAGUAUCUAUCGCAUAGUUUGAGGGGGAGUGUGGAAAAUCAAACUAUCCUAAUUUGGAUGAUUCUAAUAUUCUGCUACAGAUGUUAAUAUCUUGUAUCUAUAGCUAUUCCAUGUAAUUAGUUAUCAAUCACGCAAUUAGUUUAGCUUUAUUUUAGGUAAUACCUUGUGUAUUUAUACUACAUCUAUCCAUGAAUAAAAGGUACUCUAUUUUUCCUCUCAAAACCACAAUACCAAUAGCUGGUCCACAGAUUGCAUCACAAGCCAAAAUACCAAUAAUCUUAGUAACCAUUCUUGCCAAAAGUAUUGUCAAGAAAUGAUUGUUUCCCAGCCAUGGCAACAUGCACAACCUAGUGAGUAAGCUACCCCAGUGAGCUCCAUAUCAAGUAAUAAAGAAACCAUCAGUUAUGCUAGAAAUGAACUCUUGUUUUCACUCUUUUUUUAGUGUGGACCAGAUAAUGAACAUUCUAUGCUCCUCUUCCAACCUAUUGGACUCCUAGUGUACUAAAGAGAAGACAUAUAAAUUACUCAUAUUACAUGAUUUUUAAUUUUUAUAACAGUAUUUUGCUCACACUGAGCCAAGGUCCUAGAACCAUCAAGAGGACAUAUUAAGUGAAUGUAACCACUGAUAAAUCUCAUUCAUAAAAAAAUAUGCUUGCCUGAUAGGUCCUAGAUUCACAUGCUUGUCACUCGGAAGAAGAAAAAAAAAACCAUUGGACUUUAUCACAUGAAAGGAGAACAAAAACUCAUACCCUAAGUCUAAUGUUCAUACC